UACGUAGGGUGCGAGCGUUAAUCGGAAUGACUGGGCGUAAAGGGUGCGUAGGCGGUUUGCUAAGACGGAUGUGAAAUCCCUGGGCUCAACCUGGGAAUGGCAUUCGGGACUGCAAGGCUGGAGUGCGGCAGAGGAGACUGGAAUUCCUGGUGUAGCAGUGAAAUGCGUAGAUAUCAGGAGGAAUACCGAUGGCGAAGGCAGGUCUCUGGGCUGACACUGACGCUCAUGCACGAAAGCGUGGGGAGCAAACAGG
rnacentral:rRNA from 1 species